rnacentral:rRNA from 1 species
UACGUAGGGUGCAAGCGUUGUCCGGAAUUAUUGGGCGUAAAGAGCUCGUAGGCGGUUUGUCGCGUCUGCUGUGAAAACCCGAGGCUCAACCUCGGGCCUGCGGUGGGUACGGGCAGACUAGAGUGUGGUAGGGGAGACUGGAAUUCCUGGUGUAGCGGUGAAAUGCGCAGAUAUCAGGAGGAAUACCGGUGGCGAAGGCGGCAUCCUGGACCGACAUUGACGCUGAGGAGCGAAAGCUAGGGGAGCAAACGGG